AAUCAGUUAUCGUUUAUUUGAUAGUACCUUGCUACUUGGAUACCUGUGGUAAUUCUAGAGCUAAUACAUGCUAAAAACCUCGACUUCGGGAGGGGUGUAUUUAUUAGAUAAAAAACCAAUGCCCUCCGGGGCUCCUUGGUGAUUCAUAAUAACUCAACGAAUCGCAUGGCCUUGCGCCGGCGAUGGUUCAUUCAAAUUUCUGCCCUAUCAACUUUCGAUGGUAGGAUAGUGGCCUACCAUGGUUUCUACGGGUAACGGGGAAUUAGGGUUCGAUUCCGGAGAGGGAGCCUGAGAAACGGCUACCACAUCCAAGGAAGGCAGCAGGCGCGCAAAUUACCCAAUCCCGACACGGGGAGGUAGUGACAAUAAAUACUGAUACAGGGCUCUUUCGGGUCUUGUAAUUGGAAUGAGUACAAUUUAAAUCCCUUAACGAGGAACAAUUGGAGGGCAAGUCUGGUGCCAGCAGCCGCGGUAAUACCAGCUCCAAUAGCGUAUAUUAAAGUUGUUGCAGUUAAAAAGCUCGUAGUUGAAACUUGGGCCUGGCUGGCCGGUCCGCCUCACCGCGUGCACUGGUCCGGCCGGGCCUUUCCUUCUGGGGAGCCGCAUGCCCUUUAUUGGGUGUGUCGGGGAACCAGGACUUUUACUUUGAAAAAAUUAGAGUGUUCAAAGCAGGCCUAUGCUCGGAUACAUUAGCAUGGAAUAAUGGAAUAGGACGUGUGGUUCUAUUUUGUUGGUUUCUAGGACCGCCGUAA
rnacentral:rRNA from 1 species